rnacentral:lncRNA from 1 species
AUGGGAAGUGUGCAAGUGAUUGCUGCAGGAAACAGACUUGGAAGGAAAUCUGGGAGAGGCAAUGCAGCACCCAUCCUCGUGAGCAGAUCUCCUGAGGGCCUCGCUCUGUGGUUCCCAUGGAAGCAAACCUGGAGAGAGGGCACAGGCAGUGGUCACUUCCCCUUCAAGCAAAGCCCCAUCUUCCGGUCUCCUUCAACUCAAAGACCGCAGAAUUUGUCUGCGCAUCAAGAUGAGGGAGAGGGUUUGGGAAGGCCUAGCUCACCCGUUCUCGUGGACAAAGGCCUCCAACCUCUUCCCCAGAAGAAAUCAUCCGCAGAGUAAGCCAGGAGAUGCCCUGGGAUCUGAGAGACAAGGAAUGUGGAAAACAGAGGGAGUGGAAGGACAACACCUUCACCUUGCCAGGCCUGGAGGGGCCUUUAUCAGUGCCCUACGUCAGUGACAAACACCAUGGUGGCAUUUCCAGGGGAGCUGGAGAGAGGGAGAAAUCAAGCUGGACAAGUAUUCCAAGUCUCAGGUGUUUCUUAGUCAUGAAGAGAGGCCAGCAUGGGCUGUUCAGGGCAACACCCUAGUCUGUGGCUUUACAGAGGCUGAAGAAAAGAGGAGACAAAUUUGAUCAGCUCAAGGAAGGUAGAUAUCAAAGCUGGCCAGGGUCUUCAUAAACAGAAGAGCAGCUGGAGUUCCAGCUGGUAAUUGACGUGCCUAAAGGGAAACUUGGGAAGGGCCCAGGAUUUCUACAUAGAUCAGUGGUUUAGGAGUAGAGAAUAAAAUUCCUCAAUGAGUAAAUAAUGUUGGACUUUCUCCUUUUGGUGAGGAAGGUACCAGAUAUAUCAACAACAAAGAUCAAUUUCAGUCUCCACCCACAGGUGAGGUUUAAGAUCCCUGAAUUAUUUUCUUCUGAAAUAUUUUAUUAGUCUAAGGUAGAAAAUCAUGAACAUGUAUGCCAAUUUCCCAUAUUGGAACAUAGGAAAUUCAAGAAAAGUCAAGAAGAGGCAAGCACAUCAUUGUAUUCCCACUCUCUAGAAUCACAUGCUGAAAUGCACAUUAUUAUAAGGAAAAUCAUGGAUAUAGUGAAAGGUAUGUUUUCAAGUCAAUUCUUUGUAACUGAAAGAUUCUUCUUUGAAAUAUGAAAC